rnacentral:tRNA from 3 species
GCCCUUGUGAUGAAAUGGUAGACGUGCCGGGUUUAGAUUCCGGUGUCGAAAGGCGUGUCGGUUCGAGUCCGACUGAGGGCACCA